GGGAGCGCCACUGCUUGAGCCACAUCCCCAUCCCAAGGGUAUUUAUCCUCUGAUGCUCAAGAACUCCAGAGCCACGAACACUGAGUAUAGAAAGCCACACCUGAAUGGACAAGAAUCUGUGGAAAAUGAAGUUUUACCAGGAUAGGAGUCCUGAUGAAAGAAGAGUGUUUUCAGGUCCCAGUGUGGUUUCUGAUGAAAAACAAAAGGAAGGUACUGAAGUCUGAGCUAGUGGCAAAACUGCCACCCUGAGGACAUCCUUUGAAGAAGCCCCACCCCCUAAGCCCAUCCAUCAGCCUAGGAGCUGAUCGAGGCAGGACCCACUGGGUGCCUGAAGUCCCAUUAACAAUCUAGGCUGCCCAGUCUGUUGGUCUAAGGCCAGAAGAGAGCAAAGCAGCAUAAAUGCUGUGGCCUAGUGUAGAACAUGGAGCAUUAGGGACAGCAGGACUGAGCUUAUAAGUGCCACCGCUGUCCUGUCCUCCUGUUGUCACACACCUGCAACGAGGGAUUAUACAGUAUUCAGUCUUGAGACACCUGAACCCUUCUGGGAGAGCUGCGUCUACUGUAGGCCUCCCGCUGGUCCCACCAGGCCUAGUACCUGGGUCUGCAUCUGGAGUAGGACUCCAGGGACCCUGGGACGGAAGCGGAAGUGAGUCAGGCACACAACCCAGUGUCCUGCUGCCUACAUUCCCUCUUCCCCAUGACCUUGGUGUAAACAUUUUCUACUCCUUCCUAGGCAAGCAAACCUGAGCUUUGUCAUCCGAGAGCCCAAGACAAUGGGAUACCAUGAGGAACCACCAGAGAAGAAGGCUGAGUGAAGAACAGACAUGGGAAGAGGUGGUCACGUGGAAAGAUAUCUUCUAUCAUGGGAAGUACAGGGCAGGAGGAAAACAGUACAUGUCAACCUCCACAGGAGGGCUCACAUCUACCAGUGGAUGGGGCACUCCAGGAUCCACAAGCGUUAUAUAGUGAGUGACAGAAACCUGUUUUUACUUAUUUUUUUUAACAUUUAUUUUUUAUUUUUUACUUGUGGGUGUACACGAUA